rnacentral:lncRNA from 10 species
UUGUGACAGCACCUGGGCUUGUCUUCAACUUUUCUCUGUGAUCAGAGCAGGCGCUAACAGAGGGGAGAAGCCAGGCAGUGGGAGCAGACACCUCCGAGCCUGUAGGGGGAAGGGAAAGCUUUCCCGGGCCCGGGAGAGUACAGUUGUGCCUGGGUCCCCAGCAGCAACUUGGACAGCUGCAGCCACGCCUGGGAGGGUAGGGAUCCUGCCUGCUCCUGCCAGCUCUGUGGAAUGUGGCACUGCCCCAGACCCAGCUCCACCUUGGGGCCUCUCUCUGCCCGCCCCUCUGUGCCUGACCGCGCUGCUCCCCCACCGGUGGGAGACUGGCUCAGCUCCCAGGGCAGUGGGUGAGGUGCAGGUGGCGCAGCACUCGGGCCAACCCGGCACAAAUGAACCUGACGCUCCUAGGGCCGGCCCUGCGUGUACCAGCUGCGCUGUCGGCCAGCUGCUCCUGCUGCCGCCUCUUGCGCCUCCCCACUGCAGCCCACAUGAUAGCAGCGGCCCCUCCGGAUGGCCUGCCGCUGCCAUCAGCAAGGCUUUAGUAGCAGGUUUACACUGACCCCAUCAAACAAGUUGAAAAGUAUCUCUUUUUGUGCACUCUAGAAGCGUUUAUGUAAGAUCUUCUGUAACCUUACUGAUUCUUUUGUCUAACCCAUCACCUAUUAAGAAAGACAAGGUCUCACUCUGUCACCAAGCUGGGAUACAGUGGCAUCACCACAGCUCACUGCAGCCUCGACCUCCACAGGAUCAGAUAAUCCUCCCACCUCAGCCUUCUUAGUAGCUGGGAUUACAGGCACACACUACCAUGCCAGGCUAAUUUUUGUAUUUUUUUUGUGGAGACAGGGUCUCCUUAUGUUGCCAAGGCUUGUCUCAAACUUCUGGACUCAAGCAA